GGGGAUGUAGUUACAAAUAACAUUUAAUUUGCAAUUAAAAGAUGUCAACAUUAUUAUGACCCUCCUCA
rnacentral:tRNA from 1 species